UACCUAAUAGCUAGCCACACCAACUAAACACAACAAAACUACAUAAAUACCCCCUAACCACCCCACCCCACCCACCUUAAACAAACCAUUUUUCCCCCCUAGUAUGGGCGACAGAAAAGGACCUUAGUGAGCAAUAGAAAAAGUACCGCAAGGGAAAGCUGAAAGAGAUAUGAAAAAGCCCAGUGAAGUUUAGAAAAGCAGAGAUUAAACUCGUACCUUUUGCAUCAUGUUUUAGCCAGUAACACCCAAGCAAAGAGCCCUUUAGUUUGGACCCCCGAAACUAAGCGAGCUACUCCAAGACAGCCUAUUUAAAGGGCACACCCGUCUCUGUGGCAAAAGAGUGGGAAGAGCUUUGAGUAGAGGUGACAGACCUACCGAGCUUAGUUAUAGCUGGUUCCCUGGGAAAUGGAUAGGAGUUCAGCCUUCUAAGUUCUUCACUCCAACCCUUAAAUUAAGGUGAAAAGAAGUCAGAAGAGUUAAUCAAGGGGGGUACAGCCCCCUUGAAAAAAGAUACAACUUUAGCAGAAGGAUAAAGAUCAUACGAAAUUUAAAGGAAAGUCCUCUUGGUGGGCCUAAAAGCAGCCACCCCGACAGAAAGCGUUAAAGCUCAAAUACGGAGCACCCUAUAUAUUCUGACAACAUAAUCUUAAUCCUCUAAAACUACCAGGAAGCCCUAUGCGAUCAUAGGAAUUAUACUGCUAAUAUGAGUAAUAAGAGAACAUAAGGUUCUCUCCUAGCACAAGUGUAAAUCGGAACGAACCCCCACCGAAAAUUGACGGCCCCAAAAGAAGAGGGAACUGAGCAAAAAAUAAAAAACUAGAAAAACACCCAGUAACUAACCGUUAACCUCACACUAGAGUGCUGCCAAGGAAAGACUAAAAGGGGAAGAAGGAACUCGGCAAACACACCCAAGCCUCGCCUGUUUACCAAAAACAUCGCCUCUUGUAAUUAAUAAAUAAGAGGUCCUGCCUGCCCUGUGACAAUUAGUUCAACGGCCGCGGUAUUUUGACCGUGCGAAGGUAGCGCAAUCACUUGUCUUUUAAAUGAAGACCUGUAUGAAUGGCAAAACGAGGGCUUAGCUGUCUCCUCCCCCCAGUCAAUGAAAUUGAUCUCCCCGUGAAGAAGCGGGGAUACUUACAUAAGACGAGAAGACCCUAUGGAGCUUUAGACACCAAGGCAGAUCACGUUAAAACCCCCGAACAAAGGAAUAAACAAGAUGAAAGCUACCCUAUGUCUUUGGUUGGGGCGACCGCGGGGCAAAAAGUACCCCCCAUGUGGAAAGGGAACACCCUUCCUAUCACCCAGAGCUACCGCUCUAAUUAUCAGAAUAUCUGACCAGAAGAUCCGGCUAAAGCCGAUCAACGGACCGAGUUACCCUAGGGAUAACAGCGCAAUCCCCUUCUAGAGACCCUAUCGACAAGGGAGUUUACGACCUCGAUGUUGGAUCAGGACAUCCUAAUGGUGCAGCUGCUAUUAAGGGUUCGUUUGUUCAACGAUUAAAGUCCUACGUGAUCUGAGUUCAGACCGGAGUAAUCCAGGUCAGUUUCUAUCUAUGACAUGAUCUUUUCUAGUACGCAAGGACCGAAAAGAAGAGGCCCCUGUAAUAUACACGCCCCUCCCUCACCUAAUGAAAUCAACUAAAUUAGACAAGAGGACAUACCUGUUCCAGCCAAAGAAAAUGGCAU
rnacentral:rRNA from 1 species